GCCGGGGUGGCGAAAUUGGUAGACGCAGGGGAUUCAAAAUCCCCCGGGAGCAAUCCCUUGACGGUUCGAGUCCGUCCCUCGGUACCA
rnacentral:tRNA from 2 species